CAGAUUGUGAAUAUAUUGCAACACACGAAUUAAAUAGAAUUUGACGUUGAAGGUUAGAUAAUAACUAGUGAGGACGUGGGUGCAAUACCCACCACCUCCACCAAUUUAAAACACAUAGAUGUGUGCUUUGAGGGGGUGAGUAGAUUCGACUGCUACUAAAACUAACUGGAGUUAAAUCGCUGAUGUCGUAACAUCAAACUAUAAAUGCUAACGAAAGUUAUGCACUAGCGGCUUAAGUCGCUGGGGUUUGCCUGUACCUUGCAACAGAAACAGGCAUA
rnacentral:tmRNA from 1 species